rnacentral:rRNA from 1 species
CAUUAUACAGCGAAACUGCGAAUGGCUCAUUAUAUAAGUUAUCGUUUAUUUGAUAGUACCUUACUACUUGGAUAACCGUGGUAAUUCUAGAGCUAAUACAUGCUGAAAAUCCCGACUUCGGAAGGGAUGUAUUUAUUAGAUUCAAAACCAAUGCCCUCUGGGCUCACUGGUGAUUCAUGAUAACUCUUCGAAUCGCAUGGCCUUGCGCCGGCGAUGGUUCAUUCAAAUUUCUUCCCUAUCAACUUUCGAUGUUUGGGUAGUGGCCAAACAUGGUUGCAACGGGUAACGGAGGGUUAGGGCUCGACCCCGGAGAAGGAGCCUGAGAAACGGCUACUACAUCCAAGGAAGGCAGCAGGCGCGCAAAUUACCCAAUCCCGACACGGGGAGGUAGUGACAAUAAAUACUGAUACAGGGCUCUUUUGGGUCUUGUAAUUGGAAUGAGUACAAUUUAAAUCCCUUAACGAGGAACAAUUGGAGGGCAAGUCUGGUGCCAGCAGCCGCGGUAAUUCCAGCUCCAAUAGCGUAUAUUAAAGUUGUUGUGGUUAAAAAGCUCGUAGUUGAACCUUGGGCCUGGCUGGCCGGUCCGCCUCACCGCGUGUACUGGUCCGGCCGGGCCUUUCCCUCUGUGGAACCCCAUGCCCUUCACUGGGUGUGGCGGGGAAACAGGACUUUUACUUUGAAAAAAUUAGAGUGCUCCAGGCAGGCCUAUGCUCGAAUACAUUAGCAUGGAAUAAUGAAAUAGGACGCGCGGUUCUAUUUUGUUGGUUUCUAGGACCGCCGUAAUGAUUAAUAGGGACAGUCGGGGGCAUCAGUAUUCAAUUGUCAGAGGUGAAAUUCUUGGAUUUAUUGAAGACUAACUACUGCGAAAGCAUUUGCCAAGGAUGUUUUCAUUAAUCAGGAACGAAAGUUAGGGGAUCGAAGACGAUCAGAUACCGUCGUAGUCUUAACCAUAAACUAUGCCGACUAGGGAUCGGACGAUGUUAUUUUUUGACUCGUUCGGCACCUUACGAGAAAUCAAAGUGCUUGGGC